GGCGCUGUCUACGAGUCGGGU
rnacentral:snRNA from 1 species